AUGUCACGCCCUGUGAGCCCAGAGCGGACCCGCCCCUGCAGGGUGCAGACUGGGCAGCAGGGGGCGCCCAGGACCCACCAGCAGGGGCUGCAGCCCCAGGAGCAGCAUCGCCCCACAGCCACACGCUCCCCUACAGACGUCCUGACAGCACAGCCCUCACCAUGGACUGGAGAUGGACAGUCCUCUUCCUGGUGGCAGUGGCGACAGGUGUCCACUCUGCAGCCUGGGGCUGAGGUGAGGAAGCCUGGGCCUCCGUGAAGGUGUCCUGCAAGUCUUCCGGAUACACCUUCACCAGUUACUAUAUGUACUGGGUGCGACAGGCCCCAGGACAAGGGCUUGAGUGGAUGGGAGCAAUAUACCCUGGAGAUAGUGACACAAGCUACGCACAGAAGUUCCAGGGCAGAGUCACCAUCACCGCAGACACGUCCACCAGCACAGCCUACAUGGAGCUGAGCAGUCUGAGACCUGAGGACACGGCCGUGUAUUACUGUGCGAGGGACACAGUGAGACGACCCACAUCAGUGGGCUGCAUGGAUGCAGGAGGCCUUCCCUGUUCCGUGGACGGCAGUGCCGGUGGUCAGCAGCCCCUCAUACAGUCAGACGUGACCUUCAACCAGAAGAAGCUAAAGGAGAUGAGAGGCCCCCAAAGCCCCUGA